UAAUUAAUAUUGUGGCCAAUUUGAAAGCCAUCAAGAAACAAGGUACUGUUGCGCAAAUACAGGAAGAGCUAGAUCGCACAACUGAAAGAUUUGGGGUUGAUUCGCGAGGAUGUUUCUAUAAAUCUAAAACAUUUGGGGUCAAAUUGAAAAGAACCCGAAUGUCAGGGAGCUGUUGUGCAAAAAUAUAUAAAGUCACCAUUGGAGAGAUCAACUUUUCUCUUCGCUGAACUAGAUGGAGACAGUAAGGAUGAGCACAACGGCGAGGCUUGAUUCCGAGCAUUACGACGUCGUUAGAGCAUGGCGACCGAAGAUCCGGUGACAGAGGAGUACGCCAUGUGAAUCUCGCGGCGAUCUCGAACUCGGCAUAAACAGAGGUGAAAGGUGAAGCACAGCCGUGAAAUGGAUAAGCUUGCGAGACGAUUUACAUUUAGACGCAACGGUGGACAGAAGAAGUCAGAGGUCAUGUGCACGGUGAGUCGGAGGCGGUUGCAAAUGACGACAAGUGAAGCUUAACACGAAGAGACACUCGAUUCCGGUAGGACUGAACUAGACAAUUCAGUGGAGAUCUCACGAGAAGAGAGAGAGAAGGUACCAACAGAUUAAAUGAAGAAAAUGUGAAAGAAGAGAGAUGAACAAUUUUUAUUUCGAACUGUUUUGAUUAUUGUGCUAUCUACUGAAAACCUUUUCACGAAUGAUAUCACAAGAAUAUAAUAAUAUAGAGAAUUCGUAAAGGGGUGAUAAUUUUAGAGUGUAAUAUACGAGAUAUAGGGGCAAAAGAGCCAUUAAAAAAAGACACAUCGGAGAAAAAUGGCAAAUUCUAUCCGUGCAAAUUAUGCACUUAUGUUUGUACAGGG
rnacentral:lncRNA from 1 species